rnacentral:rRNA from 1 species
CCUACGGGAGGCAGCAGUGGGGAAUAUUGGACAAUGGGCGAAAGCCUGAUCCAGCCAUGCCGCGUGUGUGAAGAAGGCCUUCGGGUUGUAAAGCACUUUCAGUGGGGAAGAAAGCCUUGGGGCUAAUACCCUCGAGGAAGGACAUCACCCACAGAAGAAGCACCGGCUAACUCCGUGCCAGCAGCCGCGGUAAUACGGAGGGUGCGAGCGUUAAUCGGAAUUACUGGGCGUAAAGCGCGCGUAGGCGGUCUGAUAAGCCGGUUGUGAAAGCCCCGGGCUCAACCUGGGAACGGCAUCCGGAACUGUCAGGCUAGAGUGCAGGAGAGGAAGGUAGAAUUCCCGGUGUAGCGGUGAAAUGCGUAGAGAUCGGGAGGAAUACCAGUAGCGAAGGCGGCCUUCUGGACUGACACUGACGCUGAGGUGCGAAAGCGUGGGUAGCAAACAGGAUUAGAUACCCGUGUAGUC